rnacentral:lncRNA from 1 species
CAACUGGAACACAGCAGUCACCUCAGGACCCGGAUCUGCCCAGUUCUCUGGCUAAAAGUGGCCGAGCUUUUGGACCUGCUUUCUCCAGCCCUUGAUGUAACGACAUUCUGCUGCUGUCCGGAGGCCGCCAUUCUUCUCAUCACGCCUCGCUGCAGCCGCUGUAGGCGCCACGUCCUCGACUGCUGGAGGGGGCUUUGCUAAGGCCAGCAAGGCUGGACCGGGAGACCCUUCGGUCUGAGGGGUUCUGGCUCCGAGGCCACCGCCGCCAUCAGGUCAUCGAAGUGGAGUGGGGGGAGCGGUUCGCCUGUUCUUCAAAGCCUGGGCCCAGCCAGUGGGCAGUCACAGCGAGGGAUCGAAGACGCUGCAGGGCAGAGGCACGGCCCAUCCUCGGGCCCCCAGGUCACCCACCGCCAUCGGCGGCAGGACCUGGAGGACCCUUGGGAAGCAGGCCGCACUCUGUUUCUCACUGCACUCUGCCGGAACUGACUUGGCAGUUCUCUUUACUGGCGAGAAAGGAGCGGCACCGGAAGUGCUCUAGCGCCUGGGCCAGAGAGCUACGGUUCCGGUGUUACAACGUUCCGGCUGGAGAACUAUAGAAGAGAGGCAGUUAGGUGGGGUGAGGACGCCCUCUUGGCUUGCAGUUCUGAACAAGAGUUGUGACCAGCAUCACAAGACCUUAAAGUCUUAUUAAAUUGCCCUGGCAGGACUUGAAUUUGCCCCAGCCUCCCUCAGUGCUAAGAUUACAGAUCUCCUGUGAUAAACUGGACAAGGCCCAGAGGAGCAUUUUCAUUCAUCCAACCAUUCAACAAGGGACUAUGUUUUAUCCAGCUCUAUAUCCCCAGAGCACAGCACAAGGAAAGAGAUUUAAAAUGGAAUAUGUAGGCAAAUUGCUAGGCACAGUGCUAACAUGUAAGUAGACUCUAAUGCUCUCUGCAAUGAUGCUGAUUGAUGGUGAUGCUGCAGCCUCUCUUGGCACCUGGAAACAUAGACACACACACAUCUUUUCACCCUGCUCCCAGCCUCUGGAUGAUGCCCUCCAAGAUCUCUUCUAACUGCAAGGAACCC